UAAGUAGUUAAAAUUAGAAAUCACAGCAAGUCAACAGGAAGCUCUCCUCUGCCAGUCUCCUAAAUCACAAUAUGGCCUUGUCAUGGCUGGAGUAUUUCAAAGGCUCAGUCCCACUCCAGAAUCGGCCCUGUCGCCCCCGCCCGCACUCCAGAGCCGGCUGAGAACCGCAGCGGCGCGGGAUCCACGUGCAGCGUCUCUCCGGGUCAAAGCUACCUAGAUGUCAUCAUACAAAUUACGGGCUAUGAUGUCCACCUCAUUCUCUUUCUGGAAGGCUGACCUUAACUGUCCUGCACAUUCCUUACACAGCAUAUUUGCCCUUCUCCUAUACUAAUAAGCCCUAAAUCUUGGGGGUAACAGCCUGGGGAACUACCUGUCUUGCUACCACUCAAGACCAUACUUCUGUCCACAAAUUCCCCCCAAUAAAUUAUCUUUUACUGACAAA
rnacentral:lncRNA from 1 species